rnacentral:rRNA from 1 species
CCCAAGGAUGGGGCCGCGGCCGAUCAGGUUGUUGGUGAGGUAACGGCUCACCAAGCCUUUAACCGGUGCGGGCCGUGGGAGCGGGAGCCCGGAGAUGGGCACUGAGACAAGGGCCCAGGCCCUACGGGGCGCAGCAGUCGCGCAAAUUUCACAAUAAGCGAAAGCUUGAUGGAGCCAUCCCGAGUGCCAUCCGCUGAGGAUGGCUUUUCCCUAGUGUAGAUAGCUGGGGGAAUAAGGAGAGGGCAAGUCUGGUGUCAGCCGCCGCGGUAAUACCAGCUCUCCGAGUGGUGUGGAUGAUUAUUGGGCCUAAAGCAUCCGUAGCCGGCUGGGCAAGUCCCCCGUUAAAUCCAACGAAUAAUCGCUGGCCUGCAGGGGAUACUGCUCGGCUUGGGGGCGAGAGAGGCCGCCGGUAUUUCCGGGGUAGGGGUGAAAUCCUAUAAUCCCGGGAGGACCACCAGUGGCGAAGGCUGUCGGCUAGAACGCGCCCGACGGUGAGGGAUGAAAGCUGGGGGAGCGAACCGGAUUAGAUACCCGGGUAGUCCCAGCUGUAAACGAU